CACUUAACCAACUGAGCCACCCAGGCCCCCCACAGUAGGUUCAGCUAACACAUUCAUCACCUCACUGGAUGGCUCUUUCUGCAGCGUUAGCAAAAUUAGUUUGGUUCAUGCAGGGCGAAUUGGGUCAGGACAGGUCAAAAUUGGGACAGAAGUAAUUACCAACCUCAGCUAUUUCAUUUUUGUGAGCUCGUCCCACAACUCUUUAAUGAGAAGACUGGUUGGGGUGGUCAGGAUAGACAGGUAAUAUGCCAUUUGCUUUAUCUGGCUUGGUGGACAUACUCAGUUUAGCUGUGCGCUGAAAUUAUACUGAGAAGCUUUGAAGAAACACUGAUGCCUGAGAUUAUUCCACCUCUUAGGACUCUGAUAUAGUUGAUCGGGGGUGUGAUUAGGUUAUGGAAAAAAGAAUUUAAGCUACUCUUAGGAUUCUAAUUUUCAGCUAGGGUUGAAAACCACUGGACUGGGAUCAUUCUAGCGACCAUUUUGUUGGCGUAGGGCUACCAUAUUGGUAAAAUAGCCAGACCUCCAUUAUAUAUGAAGAGAGAAGGUGAGCUAGUCCCAUUGGUGAGGAGUCCAUGGCCUUGGGACAGUGGGCAUGGUGACUGUGAUCGGAAGCUAGGGUUGUUGGUAUAUUCGAGGCUGUAUACUGAUUACCCUAAGUGAAUCAUGCUUGUUAUGUUGGCUUAUGUGUGGAGAAAAAUGAAAGGGCACAUUAUUAACACUCUUUUCCUCAGGGCAGGUAUGAUAGUAGUAAAACUGGACAGGAAGAGGAUAGAAUUAACUUUUAAAACUGAGAAUUCAUUGUGAAGCAGAGGACUGAAGAGGUGGUCAAAUUUAACAAGACGAUCCUGAAGCCAAUGGAAUUCUGUUCCUCAGUCAUGGGGUCUAACGGCCUUGAAGCAACACCUCUACCUUGAUGCCUAUUAUGUAGCUCCCCAGCGAUUCUGGAAAAUAUUUGACAUGAAUGGAUAUUUUUGGCUAUCUUGAGGACCAGAAAAAUGUGAUGUUUCUAUACGUGAUUUUCUUCCAUUCUCUGCCUAGAGUAUGGAGGUAGAGAAACUUCUCUUCACGUUCAGGUUCACAGUUAGAGGUGAGAGUGCCGUGUGUCCUUUCGGUUGCUCAGCCAGCUGUAAGACACGGCGAGAGGUGUAAUACUAGAAAUAGGGAAUGAGUGCUAUAUGUGGAAAUACUGAAGAAGGAGUGGUAACGUCGCUUUGGGUCUAUUUACCCAAAAGCCGCUCUAUGUUUUCUUCAUGUUCUAAUUACCUUCUUUGGGUUAGGAUGCAUGUUCUACUUGUAUACUCAAUUGUAAUUUUAUUUAUGGACAGAAGUCAAAUCUGUGUAAAUAAUAAAAUACGCUGUAGCUGAU